AGUUCUGAGGAGCAGACAGAGGCAGUGGAGUGCCACAUUUGUCCCUCAGGCCUGAGGUUCUUCACCCCUGGUCUCAAGAGUUUCAGACAGGGGUCUUUUCCAGACCCUGCUGGAGGUGCCAGGGAUUGAUCCUGGGACUUUCUGUAUGUUUCUGUGUUCUACCACUGAGCUACGGCCUACCUCCAUGUGCUCAAUUUUACCACUUUUUUCAAAAGACAGCACCAUAAAUGUAGACGUGGGUUGAAACUAGGGCUACGGAAGAAAUUUACUUCAGUCUUCAUUGAAAGGUUACAAGACUACUUCCUCCUCUCCUCAGCAUAAUAGAGCUUUCAACUGGGACACCAAGAUCUAACAAAUCCACCUUUCCUCAAGAGGAUUCGAAUGAGGAUAUCAAACUUGGCAUUAGGGGCAACAUACCAGAUAGUUUCUCCUGCUAUCAGAGAAGGAUCACUUUGCAAGCACCACUCACUCGACCGCUGCACAUUGUUGAAGGCUUCGGACCACCUGCUGCAUACUUCACUGGAAGGGACCAUGGGUUAGCGGCAUUUGAUGACUGAAGAGGACUGUUCCUGGCAACCUGAAGAUCACUGAUGAAAGACUGUUAGAUCACUGAUGAAAGACUGUUUUUAAGGUGGAUUGGUAUUUGUCUCUGACUGAGAUGCUCCUGCCGCUGAGCUAGAGGCCUCCACUGCAAUUGAAGAGGACUAUAUGCCACAUCUGCUUUUUGUUUGCUGUGCGGCUGUCUUAGGAGGGUUGCAUAACGGAAGGGAAGACUGUGGAGUGAACAUCAGCAGAGUGGUCAAAAGCAUUUGGAACAGCAACAUAAAACCUGCUGCCAAAUCUCUCUAACUGGAACUUGACUGGUAACAGCAGACCUCAUGUAUGAACAUUGCAGGGCAGCAGUGUGUGUGUUUCCGUGUGGAUAUGUGAAUGCCUUGCUCCAGAUCUAUGUGAUAAGUUAAAAUAAUAAAAGAUAUACA